AUCACCUGGGGAUCUUGUUAAAAAUGCAGAUGCUCAUUCUCUAGGCCCGGAGUUCUGCAUUUCUAGCAAGCUCCCAAGUGAGAUCAA
rnacentral:pre_miRNA from 1 species